UGUGGGCACCCCCUGGUGGUCACAGGUGGAGUGGCUCUUUGUUCUUUGCAUCUAGAAGUUCUGGGGCUGGAACACUGGUGUAAAACAGUUUUUGUUUGUUUUUUUAUGGUCAGCAAGAAAGAAAUAACUGACCACCAAGAGAAGAAGCAACAGAAAAUGAAGUAUCUUCUGACCAAAUGGUGUUGACAGGAAAUGAAUGUGAUGACGUGAUGGCUGGAACGUUGGCAGUCAUCUUAGACCCAGGAACUGAAAAUGGCUUGAAGAGAAAUGUGGAGCAAAGAGAUUGAAGGAACUUGGAUCCCAUACCGACCUGGCACUAUCUCCUGCAGACUUGUUUUUCACAAGAGAGGAAUAAACGUCUAUCUUUCUUAA